rnacentral:rRNA from 1 species
UACGGGGGGGGCAAGCGUUGUUCGGAAUUACUGGGCGUAAAGGGUUCGUAGGUGGCCACUUAAGUCAGACGUGAAAUCCCUCAGCUUAACUGGGGAACUGCGUCUGAUACUGGGUGGCUUGAGUGCAGGAGAGGAAUGCGGAAUUCCAGGUGUAGCGGUGAAAUGCGUAGAUAUCAAGAGGAACACCUGAGGUGAAGACGGGUUGCUGGGCUGACACUGACGCUGAGUGCGCGAAAGCUAGGGUAGCAAACGGG